GAUGAACGCUGGCGGCGUGCCUAAUACAUGCAAGUCGAGCGAACAGACGAGGAGCUUGCUCCUCUGACGUUAGCGGCGGACGGGUGAGUAACACGUGGAUAACCUACCUAUAAGACUGGGAUAACUUCGGGAAACCGGAGCUACUACCGGAUAAUAUAUUGAACCGCAUGGUUCAAUAGUGAAAGACGGUUUUGCUGUCACUUAUAGAUGGAUCCGCGCCGCAUUAGCUAGUUGGUAAGGUAACGGCUUACCAAGGCAACGAUGCGUAGCCGACCUGAGAGGGUGGUCGGCCACACUGGAACUGAGACACGGUCCAGACUCCUGCGGGAGGCCGCAGUAGGGAAUCUUCCGCAAUGGGCGAAAGCCUGACGGAGCAACGCCGCGUGAGUGAUGAAGGUCUUCGGAUCGUAAAACUCUGUUAUUAGGGAAGAACAAAUGUGUAAGUAACUAUGCACGUCUUGACGGUACCUAAUCAGAAAGCCACGGCUAACUACGUG
rnacentral:rRNA from 1 species